CUAAGAAGAGCAGAGGAAGCUGCUUUCUACUCUGCAAAGCUGUCUGGGCCAGCGCCAGGACACUGUCCACCUCCAACAGCUGCUGUGUCCAGCGCCCUCUGUGAGCUUUAGUCCUCAGCCCCAACCCCCCACCUUCUCUGUGCAGCAGUGGGAUCUGCAGACUGUGUUUUCACGGCACCCAUGGUGACAUGCAGUCUCUAACGCCAUCUGAAAUUCACCGCCUGCCAUAAAUGUGUUUCAGAAAGCACAGCCCAUCCUCCAAGGCUGUGUUCCAAUCGCCAUCCUUCCGGGAGAUUUCCCCCUCCACGGUGAGCCUCCAAAGAAAUGUUUCCCGUGUGUAACGCAUCCUGAGAAAUGUUCAGAGUGGAAGGGCUCUGUGCUCCUCAGCCUUAGUCCAGUCACGUCGUGGCGAGUCUAAAGGGCUGGAUGUGAAUGACUUCAAGUAAAGUACGAACCACCCUGAGCAAAGGCCUCCAACAAGAACGGUCCCCCAAGACCUUAAGUCAUCUGACUUUAAAAAAUCGGCCUAAAUGAGCUGCAGUUGGAACUGGUGAGCAGGGAGCUAGCCAGACUCGAGCCUUCCCACUGGCACAUCCCUUGCACCCUAUAACUUGACAGAUAACCCAGACCAUAUGUGCAUGGGGGGGAUUGACCGGGGGCCUCCUGCCAGGACAUGCAGCGUCCCAGGGGAAAAACAAAGAUGAGCAUGGAGCAGAAUGGGGGCAGCAGCUCUGGGCCCCUCUGCAGGUCUUAUGCAAGUGCCUGAGUUUCUCUUCAGGGAGUGUCAUCCCCCCACACACUCAGGAGAGCCUGGGGGAGGAUGACAUGACGGGCUGCGGGUGUCCCAGUGCAGAAGGAAGAGCUGCCACCCCCCAGACAGGACAUGAGAGGAGACACUUGGGAGCGAGCUCUCCUCCACCCUGUCACUCAAGAGGCAGCCUCCUCCUGGAACGCUUUGGGAAGAGGAUGAAUCACUUUUGCCAGUGGCUUUGUCUUAGUUCAAGGUGCAGAGGCGAAGAAGGCCACCUGGAAAGGGCAGCUCCCCAUCGUCACCUGUGCGGAGCAGGAUUGGCCUCUCCUGGGAGUACUGAAGGCCAGGAGUUCGGCAGACUGUGCUGGUCCCAGAGGAGAAACUUGGACUUAGGCAGAGUAGUGUUGCACGGUCCCCAGGAGCCCCUUCCACCCGCUAAGCAGUCUGGGAAAACAGCCCAAGGCAGAAAUGCAGGUGUAGGUGGAGCCAGUCCUGUGACAUCCCUUCACCUACAAGGGUCGUUGCUCUAAAGGGAGAAGUAACAAGUGCUGCUGCCAAAAAUCUGCCUCUUUUUUUUUGAGACCGGGU